rnacentral:rRNA from 1 species
UACGUAAGGGGCAAGCGUUGUCCGGAUUUAUUGGGCGUAAAGAGCGUGUAGGCGGCCAGACAGGUCAGCUGUGAAAACUCGAGGCUCAACCUCGAGACGUCGGUUGAAACCGUCUGGCUAGAGUCCGGAAGAGGAGAGUGGAAUUCCCGGUGUAGCGGUGAAAUGCGCAGAUAUCGGGAAGAACACCCGUGGCGAAGGCGGCUCACUGGCCCGGAACUGACGCUGAGGUGCGAAAGCGUGGGGAGCAAACAGG